AAGCUGAAUUCCUGAGCAUGUUUGCACUGCAGCAUUGCGGAGAGGCCCGCAGGCUGUGGCACUGCCUGCAGGAGCAGAGGCAACCAUCAGCACCAGGGACCUGUGAGCCCCCUCCAGCUUUGCUCUCGGAGCCGUUUGCCCCAGGCUCCCAGCUGUAAGGCUUGGCUGGGAGCUUGUAAAAGCUUAGUGCUGGCCAGGAGCCCUAUGCGUUUACGUGAGCGCAGCUGUGACAGGGUGCUCUACAUCUGCGUGAGUGUCUCUGGUUUAUGGACAGUGUACCAGUAGAUGGUGCUCAAGAAUGCAUAGCUCCAUUAUUACUAUCACAUGUCUGGAUUAAAUCAGGUGGUUUUAUUUUUUUUUUAUUUUUUGGUGCUCCAUCCCAAAGUCCUGAUAAUGUGGUAAAUAUCUGUGGUGUGCAUCUGGCUGUGCUAGCCCUCGUUGUUGAAAGGUGGUGCUCCUCUUUGCUUAGGGCUCUCAAAGGGCACGGUAGAAAAAGAACAGAGGUAGGGCUUGGUCUUUUUUGUCUAUCAGAAGCCUGAACUCCUGACUUACCAGGCACCAAUAACAGCAGCUGUUCCUGUUGACAGUUUCCUCUAACAACUUUCAAUCCUGGCUCCUAGGCACUGACCCUGGGCACCUGCCCAAGGAAUAUUGCCCAGCCCGUUCCACAGGUGGGAUGUGCUGCAUGAGACUCGUGCAGCUGCUCUGCCUCUCCAGUGAGAUCUGCGUGGGCCCCCUGCCAUCGUGUCACCUCGUGAACAGCUCGUGUCAGAUGUCUGACAUCAAGGACGCUAGAUGAGGCAGCAAUGUUGAAGUGGUAAAUAAAGAGCAAAUGAAAGCCUGCAGCAGAAGGAAAUCAGUCGUAGCAUCUGGGAAAUAUCCUUUCCAGGGUCUUUUCUAAGGCCAGCAGCAGGAGCCAGGCACCUAUUUCCAAUUGCAAUUUAGGCACCAAUGGAAAUUCCAGUGGAAUCUCAAAGAGAAGAAAAAGAGGAAACAAUGUACUACCCCUAUGGCUGUUCUACGUCUGGAUUUUACUGGAAACAUUUGUGUGCCCAGUAAAACUGAAGUAUUUUGCAGCAGUGCUUUGGACAAAGCUGCCUGCUUACAGGUACGUGCUCCACCUGUGUAGAGCAGAAUGAAAACAUACAGGUAUAAAUGCACAAAAGCACAGAGCUUCUAGGAAGAAUUUUAUCUUCUAUUAGGCAAGUUAAUACCAGUUUAGAAGAAACCAGGUGAGUUUUCUGGGUGGAUAAGCCCAUGUAUCAGCUGCUGACCAUCACUGUUGUAACAGCAUUAUGCAAUCACAGGAGAGAGGAAAAAAGGUGAAAUAUUUUUAUGAGGAACUGGUUAAGUCUGUAAUUUAAGCAGCUCUACAGCCAACUCUCAACACAACGGUGAAUUCAAUAUUUAAAUAAGAGCACCAACAUGAGCCAAAUUCUUUCCUCAAUUAUGCAGAGAUGUCUCUGGUCAUUUCACCGUAAGAGAAAAGUGGCAAACCAUUAAAAUUCAUAUUAAAUUUCUUUACAUCUAACCCUCGGGAAGAUAUUUGUAUGUAUAAGCAGUCCUUAAAAAAGACUCUUUUUGUAAUAUCUCUUUUGGAGCUAAAGGCAUGUUGCAUAGGUGACGGCGCAGAACUUACACUAGGAAACUAUUCAUUAUGUUAAAAUCACUGAGGAUGUGUGAGCCACUGCCUGCCUGUUGCUCCCAAGAAAAUCAAGCGGAGGCUUUGUGCUUGGUCCAGGUUGCAAGUGGUCUUGUCAAAGAUCACUGCUUUCAUCAGCUCUUCCUGGUGAGCAAAUGGGUAUGCGGGAGGAGGAGUUGGUUAGAGAAUGAAGAGAAUUUUUUUUCUUCUUUUAUUUUCUAAAUGGGAAGUAGCAAAGAGUGAAUGUAUGCAGCAACGAAUACAAUGAGCACACAGUCUUUUAGCAUGUGUUCCCUCGGGCUCUCUCAUGAAAUAUAGUGUGUGCCCAAAGAUAUGGGACAUACGUUGUUUCCCAAGGCUUCCUAAAAGGGGAUAUUCAGCCCGCAUCAGACACUCCCAGCUAUGAGCAUGGGCAUUUUGUGAGCAUCCAACAUGCCUAAGGAUGUCCAUGAUUACACUUUAAUGGUUUGAAAGCUGAAGGGCAAGAAUUCUCUUGCAAUGUUCGGUCUAGAGCAGUGGGUGCCUCCUCCCUCUGGGCACUCUGGUUUUGCUCCCAACAGAACAGCAGCAACGCAUUGUAUUGGCCACAUCCAGCACUGUUACUUCUAUUUAACAAGGUUUUCAAAGACACUUCACUGAAAAAAUCAGUGCUUCAGAAAAGAAUUAUGGAUAUCUUUAGCAGCUUAAAAGAAAAGAAACUGUUUUACAACAUUAACUGCAGUAGACAGUAUUUGUGCUUGAUGUAAUACAGGGAUAUACUGUUUCAUUAACUGAAGUAGCGUGCAAGGGCCUUGCAAUUUUUAGCUCUUGUGUCAAGGAUGCCUUGCAUUACUCCCUGAUGCAGUGCUUCAGGAGGCAAUGGCAUUUUAGCUUAGGUGGGCAUUUUUUCCCUUCAGUUUUUAGGUUGCUGAGGUGGUGAUGAAGGAGUGGAAGCACCAGUGCAUCUACAUGCACUUCAGGUAUGUAGGAAGAAGACAUUACGUCUUUAAAGCAAAAAGCAACUAAUUUGACCUCUUAGCCAAUGACAAGCCGUAGGACUUGAUUAGCAAGUUCUGAGGAGGAGAAAGCAAUUCUUAUUAUUUAAAAGGCCAUUAACUUGUAGUUGCACUUGAAGAAAUCCUUUAAGCAAAAUUAUAUUAAUUUAAAGAUCUACUGCAAGUGGAGGCACACGCUGUGUCCACUCUAUCAUUCUCUACUUUUACUAUUAGAA